AAAGCUUUCAUAGCACAUAAGGGCAGAUCCAGAUGCGCUUCCCACCUAGAGCUCAUGCGCAAGAUACAAUAUCGAUGGUACCUGGUGCCAUCCAGAUUGGCUAGCAUCUACCCAGGCACUUCAAAGCUCUGUUGGAGAUGCUUAAAAGAAGAGGGCACGAUGAUCCACAUUUGGUGGACGUGUUCAGCUCUCAAAGAAUACUGGAGAAGAUUAGAGGAGAUGAUCAAUGGGGCGUUGCACAUUGCUAAGUCCAGAGAAAGCC